rnacentral:ncRNA from 1 species
CCUUUUCAUCAACUAGUUACCCACCUUACACAUGCAAGUAUCUGCACCCCCGUGAGAACGCCCUCCACCCCUUAUCUUAGGAAGAGGAGCCGGUAUCAGGCUCAACAUACAGCCCACGACACCUAGCCACGCCACACCCACAAGGGUACUCAGCAGUGAUAUACAUUGAUAAUAAGCGCCAGCUUGAAUCAGCCAGGGUAAAGCAGGGCCGGCAAAUUCGGUGCCAGCCGCCGCGGCUACACCGCUAGGCCCAAAUUGAUGUACACCGGCGUUAAGCGUGGUUAAAGUGACAAUACAGAUUAGAGUUAAACUUCAACUAAGUCGUGACACGCUUGUUUAAAAGAAACCCAAAAACGAAAGUUACUCCAACCAAUCCACUUGACGCCACGACAGUUAGAACACAAACUGGGAUUAGGUACCCCACUAUGUCUAACCGUAAAAUAUUUACUUACACUACCAACCGCCAGGGAACUACGAGCCCAAGCUUAAAACCCAAAGGACUUGACGGUGUCCCACCCACCUAGAGGAGCCUGUUCUAUAAUCGAUUCUCCCCGAUACACCUCACCACUUCUAGCUUCUCAGCCUGUAUACCUCCGUCGUAAGCUUACCAUGUGAACGAACUUAGUGAGCCCAAAGGCUACUCCACCAACACGUCAGGUCAAGGUGCAGCUCAUGAAUUGGAAAGAAAUGGGCUACAAUUUCUACCAUAGAACAAACGAAGGGCUACAUGAAACACAGCCAUUGAAGGCGGAUUUAGCAGUAAAAAGAAAAUAGAGAGUUCUUUUUAACAAGGCGCUGGGACGCGUACACACCGCCCGUCACCCUCUUCAAAUGC